GUCCCUGCCCUCUCCCGUGCUCUCCAUCUUCCCUUUCCUUUCCCUCUGUCUUUUACUCUGUCCAUACCCGCUUCCUGCCUGACUCUCUGCCCCCGUGUUUCUUGACAUCCAUGUCACUCCCCUUCGGCCAACUUCCCAUUCCCCACCUCUCCCCGUCCGUGUCCCUCCGGCACUGCUCUCUGUCCUUUCUCGCCACCCGCUGGCCCCCCUCCGCCCACCCUGCCUGCCCCCAGGGGAAGCACUGCAUCCUCGAUGUCUCGGCCAAUGCCGUGCGGCGGCUGCAGGCGGCCCACCUGCACCCCAUCGCCAUCUUCAUCCGCCCCCGCUCCCUGGAGAAUGUGCUGUGAGUAUGGUCCUGGGGGCCUCCCCUUUGCUCCCCCAACACCUGUGGCCCUGGGCCUCACAAGGCGUCUGCGUUCAACUCUCCCUUCAGAACCCUGGACAGCGGUUUCAGCAGCCCCUGAGGGGGAUCCCUGGAACCCAGAGGAUGUGGGGGAAUCGGGUCUUUCCCCUCCUCUCCUGCCUUGGCUAGACAGGACUACAUUUCCCAGCAGCCCCUGGGGCAUACCAGCUGGGGCGAGUCAGGGCCUCUAGGGCUGUUGGGAAUUGGAGUCCGAAUCCCAUCUCUGGGGCUGAAGGCUGGAAGGAUGAAGCUCCGUAGAUGUCCCUGGAGUAGCCACACCUGGCUGGGGCGGUUGCGGGUGGCAGGGGGGUGGGGGGUGGUUCUCAUCUGUGGCCCCAGAGGAUAUUGGGAAUUGUAUUUUUUUUUUUGCUAUGUGCUCCAAAUAGAAGAAUACUUAACAUUCCUGGAUAGAGGAGAUAAAAGGCAGGGUCAGGUGGGUCCAGUCUCAGGCCUGCUCUCCCUCCCUCUUCACAGAGAGAUUAACAAGCGGAUCACAGAGGAGCAAGCCCGCAAAGCCUUCGACAGAGCCACCAAGCUGGAGCAGGAGUUCACAGAGUGCUUCUCAGCCAUCGUGGAGGGUGACAGCUUUGAGGAGAUCUACCACAAGGUGAAGCGUGUCAUCGAGGACCUCUCAGGCCCCUACAUCUGGGUUCCAGCCCGAGAGAGACUCUGAUUCCUGCCCUGGCUUGGCCUGGACUCGCCCUGCCUCCAUCACCUGGGCCCUUGGUCUGGACUGAAUUGCCCAAGCCCUUGGCUCCCCCCGGCCUCCCUCCCACCCCUUCUUAUUUAUUUCCUUUCUAACUGGAUCCAGCCUGUUGGAGGGGGGACACUCCUCUGCAUGUAUCCCCGCACCCCAGAACUGGGCUCCUGAACGCCAGGAACCUGGGGUCUGGGGGGGAGCUGGGCUCCUUGUUCCGAGCCCUUGCUCCUUAGGAUCCCCGCCCCCACCUGCCCCCAAUGCACACACAGACCCACCGGGGGCCACCUGCCCUCCCCCAUCCUCUCCCACACACAUUCCAGAAGUCAGGGCCCCCUCGAGGAGCACCCGCUGCAGGGAUGCAGGGCCACAGGCCUCCGCUCUCUCCUAAGGCAGGGUCUGGGGUCACCCCUGCCCUCAUCGUAAUUCCCCAUGUUCCUUGAUUUCUCAUUUAUUUUUUCCACUUUUUUUCUUCUCAAAGGUGGUUUUUUGGGGGGAGAAGCAGGGGACUCCGCAGCGGGCCCCUGCCUUCCACAUGCCCCCACCAUUUUUCUUUGCCGGUUUGCAUGAGUGGAAGGUCUAAAUGUGGCUUUUUUUUUUUUUUUUCCUGGGAAUUUUUUUGGGGAAAAGGGAGGGAUGGGUCUAGGGAGUGGGAAAUGCGGGAGGGAGGGUGGGGGGCAGGGGUCGGGGGUCGGGUGUCCGGGAGCCAGGGAAGACUGGAAAUGCUGCCGCCUUCUGCAAUUUAUUUAUUUUUUUCUUUUGAGAGAGUGAAAGGAAGAGACAGAUACUUGAAA
rnacentral:lncRNA from 1 species